rnacentral:lncRNA from 1 species
AUUUCCCCUGAAAGUAGAGUUGCUCUUUUUUGCUGGUCUGAGCAACUUUGCUUCCCCAAAGCCAAGGGAACAUUUUCUUCAGCAGGGGUUGGACGCUGUGUGGGAUCGACGCCAGUCUGUCGUGAAAGCCCAGCUCUGGCCGGGAGGGCUGAGGAUGUGUGGACAAGAGUCUGAUGGGUAUGACCUGCCAGCACCCAGCACAGCUGGCCGCCCCUGAAGAAAAUGUGUAUCCCAGAGGCUUUCGUCCCCAC